GUCAUUUUUGCAUCGACCCCAAAUCUUCUUCCCUGUUUGUUGCCUCCAUUGCCAUGGUCUUGACCAUCUAGUUCUAGAAACCUUUUUUGAAUCGAUUCUUACGAGAGUUGACUUUAAUAAAGUAUAAACCUGACCCACAGCAUUAGAUUCUUUGAAUUGGCUUGGAGGUUUGAUUCUCCAAGUUCUUGAGUUGGUAACUCUAAAGGUCAGAAGGCUGAUGAUGGACAGAGAGCAGACAACUUGGAAUAUCAUUAUAUUGACAUCAUUCUAAUAUAACACAAGGCGGACUACACAUUUGGGCCCUUAGGGAGGCCCAACGAAUCAAGCACACGUGGCGAAGAAGAAGGGUGGCUGAGAAUGGAACCGACGUGGCGGAAAACAUAUUCUUUGAGAAUCCUCUUUUAGAAGAAUAUUUUGGGGGAAGAAAAGGAAAGGAAGAUGGGAGGAAAGGAAUAAAGAGAGGGGUUUAUGAAAAGGAAAUUAUUAUUAUAAUUAUUGUUUGUGAGAAGAUUAUGGAGAAUUAUUUAUAAUAUUUAUUUGGAAGAAGGAUUACGAUAAAAAGAUUGUAUUUUUUUUUUCAUUUGUGUAAAAAAAGUGUACCAAAA